GACACAAAACCAAACCAUAUCAGUCUUUAAAGAGUUAAGUUAAAAUAAGCUCUUUAAAGUGGGCCCUAAUCCAGUAUGACUGGUGUUCUUAUAAGAAGAGGAGAUUUGGUCACAGACAUGGUUGCAUGCAGAAUAAAGACUUUUCGAGGACACACUGAGAAGGCAGCCAUCUGCAAAACAAGGAAAGAGUCCUCAGCAGAAACCAGUCCUGCAGACUCCUUGAUCUUGGACUUCCAGCCACUGCAAUUGGGAGUGACCUACAAAAUGCAUAAUGUGAAACAAUGCAAAAGCGAAAGGUGCAAAAUCCCCAUCAAAGAGCUGGAGGCUGACAGAUGCGCCAGUGAUAAUUCCCAUCUUCCAACACAGGAGCACAGCUUCCAUUUUCCAUAACAGAACAACAGCCAGAGCAGCUGGAAGGCAGGGCCGCAUCCCAGACUUCCACCAACAAUGGGAUGAGACUUGACAUCUGGAAUCACAACCACAACAGACCUGAGAGACCCACCAGCUUGAUGACAAGCUUCUUCUUUCAAAGAAAGGUAUCAGUCUGGGGGACCUAGUGCUGCAAACCAUGACAAAUUAAGUGUGGCAUCCCUCACUUGCAUAAUGGAACUCAGUGAUAUUUUUUAAUUAACAAGAGUUAUUUUUAUGUAAGCUUCUCUCAUUCCUCCACUGUGCGUGCUCGGGGGCUGGUGGUGAGGAAAAAGAAAACAGCUGUGCGGGAAGCAUCAAGAAAAGGCAAGUCAUGAAGUCUUAGAGAUCAGUGACAUGUAAGAAAAAGAGUGAGGAGAAAAAUAUUCCUACUAAAGUUUUCCAUUUGUUUACCUUCCUUGUCACAUAGACUUCCAAGAGUUAGAAGUCUAGGAUUUGAUCUCCAAAUCUUCCUGGCAGAUUACUCAUCUUCAUUUCAUUCAUAUAGUCCAGGGGUUUGUACAAAGGAAGAUGCCAGUUCUUCCCCAAUCAUAACUAAGAUAUCAAGAGAUAUUCUUUUGAAAUGUAACAAAGGAGAUCUGAAGUUCAUCUGAAAAAAAUAAAUGGGUAAGUAUACUGACAAAUAUUUUGGCAAAAUAAAAGUAAUGAGGAGAUACUAGCAUUAGCCUCAUCAGGCAUUAAAAUAUAUUAUAAAGUUAUAAUAUGUAAAACAGCAUGGGACUGGCACUGAAACUGACAGUUCAACUGAAGAGAAUAGACAAGUUAGAAGUAAGUCUUGAUGUAUGUAAGAAUUUAAUAAAUUUGAAAGAUGGUAAGGAAAGAUAGGAUUGCUUAAAAAAUGGUUUUGGUGCAAUUGAUUAACUUUUCAUAAACUGGGUCAGCUCUUACUAGAUAUUGCUCUGAGACACUCACCCACCCCAAGUGUCCCCCAGCUCUCUGAGCUUCCCAGCUAUAUGACAUCAGAGCUCAGGAAACUCUGGUCCUCUCCAUCCUGGUCUCCCACCAUUUUCUCUGCAGCCCCCAAUCUUCCUGAGAUCACAGCUCCCAUGGGCACCAUUACCCUCUACUGCCAGCAUCACUCUUGGGCAAGGAAAACUCCACCCUCCCAUGAGCUUCUUACGACAAAGUGUGGUCACAGGCCUCCAUAACUCCCAUAGAACACCCGAGAUCAGGAAAUCUGCAAGUAUCUGGGAUGUCUUUAUUAUAGUCAGUGGUUGCCAGAGGUUAGUGGGGAGGGAGGGAUGAAUAAGCAGAGCAUAGAGGAAUUUUAGGGCAGUUGAAACUACCCUGUAUGAUACUAUAACGGUGACUAUAUGACAUUUUAUAUAGUCCAAACCCAUAGAUUAUAUUGUUAAAGAAGAAAUUAUUCUGCCACUUGUUAAAACAAUAAUGAAGAUUUUAUUCAGGACUAUUACGAUGGGUGUUGAAACUUACUACAACAGGCUAGAGAAUUCAGGCUCAAUUCCAAUAUAACAAAGACAGCUGAGGACUCAUAGCCCAUGAAUAGAAUGAGGGAAUCAGUGGGUGGAAAAUUCCUAAGAGGAGAAAUCAAGAGCAGAGAGAUUCUUGUUAAACCAACUUAGGGUUCUUGCUAAAGGCAAGCCAGGGUGACCAGAUAUCAAGAGUGGGGGAAGCAGAAAUUGAUCAUACAUCCAGAGUGAUCAGAUUUCAAAGAUGUAGCGUUUCUCACUAAACUGACCGAGCAAGAUUUUUUUUAGACAGAGUCUCCCUCUGUCACCCAGGUGGAAGUGCAGUGGUGUGAUCUCAGCUCACUGCAACCUCUGCCUUCCGGGUUCAAGCGACUGUCCUUCCUCAGCCUUCAGAUAGGUGGGAUUACAGGUAUGCACCACCAUGCCUGGCUAAUUUUUUCGUAUUUUAGUAGAGACGGGGUUUCAUCAUGUGGCCCAGGGUGGUUGCAAACUCCUGAGCUCAGGCAAUCCUCCUGCCUUGGCCUCCCAAAAUGCUGGGAUUACAGGCGUGAGCCACCGCGCCCAGCCACAAGAUACUUACUGAGUGAUGCAAGCCCAGCAAGGACAGGCCGGAGGCCCAGGUCGAGGCCUAGUCAAGAAGAGGACUCAGAGGAGCAUAACAACAGCUUGGUCAAGGAUCAGGAGUCUUUGUCAGUGUAACACCCAGAGUGAGCUGUAAUGUAAACUAUGGAUUUUGGGUGAGAAUGACAUGUCAAUGUAGGGUCAUCAAUUGUAACAAAUGUCCCACUCUGGUGCAGAAUGUCAAUAGUGAAGGAGACUCUGCAGGUGUGCGGUCAGGAUAACAGAACAGAACUCUGUAUUUUCUGCUCAAUUCUGCUAUGGAUCUAAAACUUCUCUAAAAAUUAAAGUCCAUUAAAAUAUUUUUAAAUUAAAUUGGUUUAAAAAAGGAAAUGAAAUUGGAUCAUUCCUGACUAUGGCACAGGUAGCAAGACCAGCCCUAUGCCCUUCCCUAGACAGGAAGUUUCAAGCCAGAUCACUAGCUCUGGUGCCAAUCGAUCCCUAGAGAUUUGAUAAUCUUUGCCAUGCCCAAUAGUAGGAGUGCUGGUUCUUUCAUGCAUGGCUCCCUGUUCUAUCAUCUCUCUCCACUUAUCCUCUGUUCUGUUGAAAACACUUCGGAUUGGCUACCCAAGAGCUACUCAUAACCCCUUCCCGCUUGCUUUAAUAAGGGUUAUCGGGAAGGGAUUUGGGGAAUGUUUUUAAAGGCCACAGACUGAACCAGUAGACCCCCUUUAGCCUGUUGCCCUUUCUCCAUUCAUCUUGCCUAGAAUGUGGAUGUAAUGUCCGUCUUGUGACUCUGAGGAUGAAAGCCACAAGCCAAGGAUAGCAGAGUACAAAGAGAGAAAGAGGCUGGGAUAUGGAUGACAUUGUGAACUCUGGACUGCCUAUUUAGAUAUGUUUUGCCUGAGACGAAUGGAUACUUUAUUGUUUAAGCCCUUUAUAGUUGAGAUUUUGUUACUUUCGGCCAAACAUAAUGCCAAUUGUUAUAUUUUUCUACUCCCCAAAUUAGCAGAAGGGGCAAAUCAGCAAACCUACUGCAUAAAUAUCCAAGUGGGAUGCUGGGAUCCCUAAUUUUUUAAUGUGGUUUUUAGUGGGAAAGCAUUAUUUAUCUCCACAGCACAGCACUUCCUGCUAGGUGAAAACUUGUACUUGCAAUGAUUCUCUCUUCCUGCUUCCAGGGUUCUGCUUUUAUAGAUAGGGAGUAGUGGGAGAGGAUAUUAAUUGUGAUAGGACUUAUGCUAUUUCUACCUCAUUAACAAUUUUUAAAAUAUUUAAGAAUGUGGGAUAUUGCAUCUGAAAAAGACUAUCGACUAAACAUGGUUUAGACUAGUGAUGGUUUGUGGGUCUAGAAGUAAUUUUUUAACAUAAAAAUCAGUUCACCUCUCUACUCCUCUACCUUCUGUGGAAGAUUGUAUUACAUCUUUGCCCCAUGGAUAUUGGGCUUGGUCAAAUGACUUGCUUAGACCAACGGAUGUGAGCAGAGGUUUUCAGCGUGCUUGCUGGUUUGGCGGCUUUCCCUCUUGUCUUUCUGCUAUCUGCCAUUAGCAGAGCAUGCUCUGGCAGCUUCCAUCUCAGAAUGCAGAGGCAGUUGAAGCCAUCAGGAACCCAAUCUUCAGCUUGAAGCAGAGCCUCCACAAUUGACCCACAGAACCAUAAGCGAAAAAUAAAGUUGGUUCUUGUAAACCAUUGAAAAUUGGGAUUGCUUGUUAUGCAGCAUUAGGCAAUAAUAGUUGACUAAUACACUUCCAAUGUCUUUCAGCUCAUUCUGAGGAGAAAGUCAAAGUUUACAGAGUGAUUCAAAAGAAUCCUCAUAUUCUGGCUCCAUUUACCUCUCUGACUUCAUCUUCAACUACUUUUUUCCCUUCUUACUCUGCUCCAAAUACACCAUCCUCCUUCUUCCUCCUCUAACAUGCCAGAUGUGUUUCUGCCUUGGGACUUUGCACUUGCUGUUUCUCCUGCAUAGAACACUUCCUCCAAAUUCCUGCAUGGCUUAUUUGUUAAUUUUCCUGUGAUUUCCCUUUCUUUAAGAAAGUCAUCUCAGUGAGAAGUUAUCUAACCAUCUGACUGUAAACUGCAUUUCCCAGUACUCAGUAGCCCCUUCUUUGAUUUACUUUUCUAUUUAGCACCAAUCAUCAUUUAUCCAUUCUCUUCCCACCACCCCACUACAGGACAGGGACUUUAUUUUAUUCACAGCAGUAUUCCCAGGGUCUAGUCAGAGCAGUGUCUGGCACAUGGUAGGCACCUGUUGAUUAUUCAUAAAUGAACAAAGGGAUAAAGGAACAAAUUAAAAAUCUCAACAUAAAAAUUUAUAAAUAAUUCCUAAAUUAUUUAAUAAAAUAUUACAUUUUUCUUUAAUAAAUAAAAACAAUACACAAAUGACAUUUCAUAAAAAAUCAAUGGUUAGAAAAAGAAAUAUAGGUGCUCUUGUUUGUAAUCAAAGAAUCAGGAAUUAAUGUUACAGAGAGGUAUUCCAUCUCCUUUCAAAUUGGCAAAUGUUUUAAAGAAUUAUAAUACUCAUGAUGGCAGUAAUUCUCUUUGUCUGGCAUGGGUAAUCUCACAGACUGUGGGUGGAGAUAUGUAGAGAUUCAUCCUCUUGGGAAAGCAAUCAAAUGCCUUUACAUCUUUAUACCUUUACAUCAUCGGUCCACUAAUUUCCCUUCUAGAAAUCCUUCCCAAAGAAGAAAUCAGUGUUGGAGGCAAGAAAUUACAUAUCAAAAAGUUUCUUACAAUGUUAUUCAUAAUAACACAAAUUUAGAAAAAAAUCUUAUCAGUCAAUAAUAGAAGGAUCAUGACAUGAAUCAUGGUGUAUUUUUAGAAAUUUCUUAUGUUUUUUACUUUUUUGAUCGAUACAUAAUGCUUUUACAUAUUUAUGAGGUACAAAGUAUCACAUGUACCCCAUCAAUAUGUAAAAGUAUUAUGUAUCAAUUAUGCAUAGAAUGUGUCAUGAUCAAGUCAGGGUAUCUGCGUGUCCAUCAUCUUCAGUAUUUAUCACUUCUAUGUGGGAACAUUUCAAGUCCUCUCUUCUAUUUUGAAAUAUACAAUACAUUGCACGUGCACCACUGAAUUUAAAAUAGAAGUUUUAUAAAAACGAGAACAAAAAUGCAGAGAUGCCAGAGGCUUACAUGAGGUCACUUUGCAGCACCAAAGCCCAUUGUGAUCCACUCCUGUUAACAGAGGUGGGGGGAGUAGAUAAAUGGCCCCAAAUAGCCAUCUCAUUUUUUCUGUUUCCCUCCAUGCCAAAAAAGCACAUUUUUACCUAAUAAAGGAAGGUGGUAUGGAGCAAGCGAAUGUGACUGUCAGUCAAGCAAGCUUGAUGCAUCAUUCCCCGCUUCCACACCUCCAUGCCCCAACACAAUCCCUGACCUUCCUCUGCCCACUGGAGCACCCCACCUGGACUGUGUGUGCCACAGUUCCCUUCAUUAGCUCCCCCCACACACUAGCUUUCACAUGGACACUCCCUGAGCAAGUAGCGCUGAGCUGAGCCCAGCCCUCUUCCUCCCCAUUUCCGGUAAGUUUUAGGCGGUCAUGACCAUGGGAUGCUGGACCAGGAUGGUAAGCUUCAGGAAACAGAAUCUGGAGAAUGCCCAGCUGCUCCCACAGGAAGCAUCAGGGAAGAAGAAGAAGAGGUGUGAAGUCUGCCUUCUGCUCUGCUGGGAUCCCUUUCACAUCUCCUUUGCCUCCAGGCAGUUUUGGUUCCUGGCCAUUUCCAGGUGUGACUCACUCAGGAUGGUAAGCAUCUUCUCUCCUACCCAGAGUAGAGGAUGAAGACCUCAUCUCAGAGGUUGAAGGGAGCUCCAGAGAGAGGUCUCAAACUUCCAGCAUUAACUGCUAAAGAAGCUUCAUGAGCUGCUGGAGAACCUGGGAAAUGACCAAUUAUAGGGACAGAGCUCAAAUACUCUGGGACACUCUAGUAGCUGAGAAAGUUCCAACUCCAGGGUGAUAGAGGACUGCCUGGCAAACCAUCAUCAAAGCAGAAGACCUGAUACUAACAUCACAGGCUAUGGUUUAUUACUGAAGAUCAGUGCUUACACCCUGCCAGAGGUUCAGAAGCAAACUUAUCAUUGUUCUCCCUGGAGAUGUUGGCCCACAUUCUGAAAAGUGUGGUCAGUAGUAGCAACAGAAAGCAAUUGUGCUUGCCAAGCACAAUGUCACUGUCCCCAGCCCUUCCCCCAACACAACCCAGUAGGUGCUUCCUGGCUGCAAACUUGGGAAAGUCACUUGACCUGUCUGAGGUUCCACUUCCUAAUCUGGCCUGGCGAAGAUAAGAAAAACAGUUUAUUUAAAGUGUCUAGCAAAGUGCUUGGACCAAAAUAGGACCUCUGAAAUGGUUAUGGUAGUGCUGUUAAGGUGAUGUUUUAAGUGCUGAUGAGCACAAAGAUGGGUAAGAUAUUCCUUCUGUUAAAAUCUACAGUCUAAUGAGAGAGAACAAGAUGAAUGCACAAUAACUGUCAUUCAGAACAGGAUUAUGAGAAGGUGUGAAUUUCUGUGAAAAAUCAGAACAGGGAGUAAUAUGAUCCCAGGUGAUUGGCAGGGGGUGGGGGUCUGGAUUCAACUGGAGAGGGAGCUGGCAGGGAAGGCUUCCUGGAGGAUGAGAGUUCAACAAGGGGCAGGUGUAGGAUGUGGGUGGCCAAGUGACUGGGCAGAAGGAGCUGCAGAAGUAAGACCCCAAAUCAGGAAGACAAGGGCCUGCUGAGAAACACGAGCUACAAAGUGCAAGUGCAGGAAGAGUUGGGAUGAGAUUAGAAGGGGGUCUGGGGCCAGACUGUGGAAGGCCCAAAUGCCGGGCUAAGGAGUUUGUACUUAAUUCAGUGGUCAACGGGGAGUCAUUGGAGGCUGUUGAGCAGGAGAGUUGCUUUCUUUACAGCUGUGCCAGACUAAAUUAAACCUAAACAGUACUUUAUAGCUGGAAAGGGAAGGCCCAGGAAUAGCUCUUGACUCAGAAACAGGCAUUGGGGAAGGUAAUGAGAAACAGCCGUGACUGAUCAAAGCAGAGAGGUUAAUUAAAUUUGUAAUUAUUGUGAAAGGCCAUUAAAAACCCUAGUUCACUAGAGAUAACUGCUCUAGUGGGGCUUCAAAGACAAACGCUUCUUUUAACCUUGAAUAGGGGGAUGUUUGCUUCUCUGUGGAGGAGAUAUGAUUAAGAUACUUAAUAAAUGGUAGAUAAACAUGCACACGUGUGUGUUCUCUGUAAACCCACUCUUCGUCCCUGCAUAUAUCUGUGUAGCUAUGUAGGGUGCUCCACAAGAGGGGUCCCCAGCCCCCAGGCCAUAGAGCGUUAUGGGUCCAUGACCUAUUAGGAACCAGGCCACACAGCAGGAGUUGAGCAGAGGGCAAGCAAGCAAAGCUUCAUCUGUAUUUACAGUC
rnacentral:lncRNA from 1 species